UACGUAGGGUGCAAGCGUUGUCCGGAAUUAUUGGGCGUAAAGAGCUUGUAGGCGGUUUGUCGCGUCUGCUGUGAAAAUCCGGGGCUCAACCCCGGACUUGCAGUGGGUACGGGCAGACUAGAGUGUGGUAGGGGAGACUGGAAUUCCUGGUGUAGCGGUGAAAUGCGCAGAUAUCAGGAGGAACACCGGUGGCGAAGGCGGGUCUCUGGGCCGAUACUGACGCUGAGGAGCGAAAGCGUGGGGAGCGAACAGG
rnacentral:rRNA from 1 species